ensembl:lncRNA
GUUGGGUAGAAAUGCUAGUACAGCUGAGGUUGAGAAACACCAGAGAGAAACCCAGCCUUUAUGAAAACCCACUGCUGGAAGGAAAGAAGCAGAGGAAACCAAGGCUCUCCCCACCUCUGGCUGCCGGUGCCUCACUCUGCCUGGAACCCUGGAACAGGACCUGGGUGUCCAGUCCCCCUGGCACUUCUUUGGCAUGUUUUUACCCAGAAUGUGGCCCUCACCAGAAACCAAGCAGAUGCUAUGCCUGCUUCUCCUGCUUCCAGCCUGCAGAACUGAAUUUAUAUGUGGGGAAAUCUUACCAAAAAAGAUGACCAGAUGAAAAGUGAGGCCUUGGAAACAAUCUACAUCAGGAGUUGGCAAACUAUGGCCCACAGCUCACAGCUGGCCUGAUGGCGGGUGUGCAAAUAAAGACUUAUUGGAACACAGCCACGUGCUCACACAUAUCGCCUAUGGCUUUUUUGCACUCCAACAGCAGAAGGCAGGAGUUGAUGGAGACUGAAUGCUUCAUACAUUCUAAAAUGUUUACUAUCAGGCCCUUUGCAAAACACAUGUGCUGACCCCUGGUGUAGAUAAUGGGCCAACUCUCAGGUUGAAGUCAGGGGGAAGCACUGGACAGAUGUCUAUGCCUGCAUGAAGCCUCAGGGUGCCAAGGACACUGCGGAGUCCCAGGGUCACACUAAGAAGACAGAGAUGGAGAGAAGCCACCCAGUGCUUACAGCCUUUCUUCUCCUGGACAAAACAUUGACAGCUUCCUGGACUACAGGGAAAAUGUUGGCAUCCAGGGCCCAGCAGGGAGUGAUCCUUCAGGAACCCCACACUUCAGGUUGGAAAACCAGAAAUCCUGCUGGUACAGGGCAACUGGAAGUAGAGUCUGACGUGGUAACCAACACCUAGCUGUGAUUCUACUCAACCCCUGAAAGUGAAUUAUUAUGGCUCCUGGCACCUGACAGCAAAAUACAUUCUAGGAGACAACAAUAAAAUCCUAGGAUUUAAAUUAUUUAAAUAUAACAUCUUCCAUGCAAUAAAAAAAAGAGCCACUUUAUGUUCUGUUUGUGUUAGUUUAGUGGAUAUUGGGCUAAUUCUACUGACAUAAACAAACACAAAAGCUGAGAAAAAUGUGCAAAGCAACUCUUGGCAAGCAUUUGACAAUAAAUGUAGAGCUAUGAUCCUCAAGAGAAGAGAGUGCACACACGAGCCUCACAUUCAUCCCAGCUUUUUCCUUCUAAAUCUCAGCACAGGGAAAAGGGACCCAAGUAGAGACCAGUAGUCUCUUUGGGCAGAGGAAGCAAAGCCUGAAAUUCAAGAAUGCUAAGGUGAUGGGGAUUUGAGAGUAGGAAGCUGCAAUGAAGUGGGCCCGAAAGUCUGUGUAAAAACUCCCCUGAUACAUCUGGCUUACUCUAAGCAACAGGUGCACAAGGAAAGAGUCUGAGAAUCCUCUAAGAAAACAGCCAGGGGAGGUUGACACUGAGAAAACAGCUAGAAGAGGCUCACUGCAACCUCUGCCUCCUGGGUUCAAGCUAUUCUACUGCCUCAGACUCCUGAGUAGCUGGGAUUACUGAGCAGAGAUUUCAGAGCUCACCAAAUAGUGUGAAGACAUGGUAAUUUGCUCCCAGCCAGACUAGAGAAACUUUUUAAUCCUGCUGGAAUCCAGUUGAGACCCCAGAAAGGCCAUGCCCUAAGAGUAAGGAGCACUCCCUAGCAGUGAGCUCCCUGUAGUAGGGGUAAGGGCAAACCUGAAAUUGUCAUAUGUAGCAGUAUAAUGGGGUUUGCAAUAUCUAAAGCCAGGUCUCAAGAAAAAAGAUUAAAAAAGAAUUUUAGACUGGAUUGGAGCUGGGAAAAUUAGUAAAAUUAGGAUUCAUAAGACUGUAUAGAAAACUGGAGAUUUUAAAGUAGGUUAAAAAAAAUAAUGAAUAGGUGUUAAAUUUCAACAAAUGCCUUUUCUAUACCUGAUAUGUCUGGCCCCACAUUAGAGACUUACUUUUCCCCGUGAAUACCCUCUAAGGAAAGUAACCUCAGGAGCUGCCCAAUUUCUCUCCUGCAGCCCCCAGAAACAGCGCUUCACUGUAGGUGGCCAGUGUAUCCUCUGAAUCAGCGUCCAAUAUAUGGUACUGUUUUUUCCAUAGCCAGGAUUCAUGGGUCCAGGAAUCAAGGUGUGGAAGUGGAAGUGGCACCACUCACCAUCACCCCUAGUGACCCACUAGCAAAACUUUUGCUUCCUGUUCCCAUGGCAUUACGUUCUGCUGGUCUAGAGGUCUUAGUUCCAGAAGGAGGAAUGCUGCCACCAGGAGACACAACAAUGAUUCCAUUAAACUGGAAGUUAAGAUGCCACUUGGACAUUUUGGGAUCUUCCUAUCUUUAGGCCGACAGGCUGACUGUGUUGGCUGGGGUGAAUGACCCAGACUGUCAAGAUUAAAUCAGUCUACUACUCCACAACAGAGGUAAGAAAGAGUAUCCAUGGAAUGCAGGAGAUCCAUUAGGGAGUCUCUCAGUAUUGCCAUGCCCUGUGAUUAAGGUCAAUCAAAAACUACAGCAGCCCAAUCCAGGCAGAACAACAUACGGCCCACAUCCUUCAGGAAUGAACGUUUGGGUCACUUCACUGGGAAAAAAUACACAACCUGCUGAUGUGCUUGCUGAAAGCAAAGGGAAUAAAAAAUGGGUAGUAGAAGAAGGUAGUCAUCAGUACCAGCUAGGACCACGUGAUCAGCGGCAGAAACAAGGGCUAUAACAGUCAUGAGUAUGUCCUCCUUCUUUUGUUAAAAACAUGUUUGUGCAUGAAUACACUUGUAGUAGGAAAAUAGCUUCAUUUUAUUUUCUUUCUUCUUUAUUGUGUGACAUAACAUUUAUUGACUUCACAUCAGCAUUUAAGUAUUGUGAACCUUAUGUAAUAAUAUUUGGUCUUGGGAUUGGUGCAUUUCCGGUUGUAGAAAAGAGAGUUGUAUUAUGUUAGGUGUAAUUAUGACCUUAUUAUUGUCUUUCUUUGAAGAUUAUGAUCUCGUGAGAGGUGUAUGCGUUCAAGUUGAGAAAGGGCAGACUUGUGAUGGUCAAUACUGAGUGUCAACUUGAUUGGAUUAAAGAAUGUGAAGUAUUGAUCCUGGGCGUGUCUGUGAGGGUGUUGCCAAAGGAGAUUAACACUUGAGUCAGUGAGCUGGGAAAGGCGGACUCGCUCUCAAUCUGGGUGGGCACCAUCUAAUCAGCUGCCAUUGCAGCUUGAAUAUAAAGCAGAUAAAAAAAUGUGAAAAGAUGAAACUGGCCUCGCCUCCCAGUCUACAUCUUUCACCCGUGCUGAUGCUUUCUGCCCUCAAACAUCAGACUCCAAGUUCUUCAGUUUUGGGACUCAGAUUGGCUCUCCUUGCUCCUCAGCUUGCAGAUGGCCUAUUGUGGGACCUUGUGAUCAUGUGAGUUAAUACUUAAUAAACUCCCCUGUAUAUAUAUAUCUAUCCUAUUAGUUCUGUCCCUCUAGAGAACCUUGACUAAUACCACUAUCUUAAACACUGUUGCUUUACUUUCUCUUUUUUUUUUACAAAAAGUUUGGAAAUAUGGUUAUAUAUUUGUAUCCCUCUAUUUCUCCUAGAUGAAUGGAAGAUUACUAUACAUGCUCUUCUUUACUUGCUUUUUUCUCUUAAAUAUAAAAUUUAGUUAAAUAAUUACUUCAAAUGAAAAUUUUAAACUUCAAUUAAAAAUGUUUCCAAAAUCACUUAAUAACAAUAUAUAAAAAACAGGUGCUAAAUACUUGGUACUUGUGGACAUAAAGAUGAAAAUAAUAGAGGCUGGAACUACUAGAGGAGGAGGAACGGAGAGGGCAAGGGAUGAAAAACUAACUAUUGGGUACUAUGCUCACUGCUGAAUGACAGAAUCAUUUGUAUCCCAAACCUCAGCAUCACACAAUAUACCCAUGUAACAAACCAGCACAUGUACCCCGAAUCUAAAAUAAAAGUGGAAAUUAUUUUUAAAACAUUUAAAAUCCAAAUAUAUGAAGAUAUUUCUCAUUUCUUUUUUAUAGCUGUUUUGUCUUCCUUGUGUAGUACAUCAUAAAUACUUGAUACUCACAAAAUUAAUCAAUUAAAAUUUCAGGUACAGAGAGAUUAAGUAGCUUGACCAAGAGCUCACUGAUGAAUUCAAUAGGGAUUUGUUUAAUAUUAUUAUGAAAAUUAAAUCACAUCUACUGUAGUAGACUGAGUUUUUAUUAU